rnacentral:rRNA from 1 species
UUGGUCAUUUAGAGGAAGUAAAAGUCGUAACAAGGUUUCCGUAGGUGAACCUGCGGAAGGAUCAUUAAUGAAACUUCAAAGUCGGCCAAAGGUUGUUGCUGGUGAUUAUUCACAUGUGCACGCCUUUGGUCGCAAAUCCACACACACCUGUGCAUCUAUGACUCGAGGUUGUAAUGACUGAGAGUAACUUUUAUACACUCUUGUAUGUAAUGGAAUGUCUUUUUGUGCUAUAAUGUACAAUAUAAACAACUUUCAACAACGGAUCUCUUGGCUCUCGCAUCGAUGAAGAACGCAGCGAAAUGCGAUAAGUAAUGUGAAUUGCAGAAUUCAGUGAAUCAUCGAAUCUUUGAACGCACCUUGCACCCUUUGGUAUUCCGAAGGGUACGCCCGUUUGAGUGUCAUUGUAAUCUCACUUCUACAACUUUAUUGUUGUUUGAAUGUGGACUUGGAUGUUGCCGUUUUAUCACGGCUCGUCUUAAAUGCCUGAGUGUACCCUGUUUUGCAGCGUAUCCAGUGUAAUAAACAUUUCACUAGAGUUGGUCGAAAGACCGCGUUGACUAUAUGGGCUCUAUGCUUCAAACCGUCUGCCAUGUGGACAAUUUCUUGACAAUUUGACCUCAAAUCGGGUGGGACUACCCGCUGAACUUAAGCAUAUCAAUAAGCGGAGGAAAAGAAACUAACAAGGAUUCCCCUAGUAACGGCGAGUGAAGAGGGAAAAGCUCAAAUUUUAAAUCUGGUGUCUUUGACUCCCGAGUUGUAAUCUAGAGAAGUGUUUUCCGUGUCGGACCGUGUACAAGUUCCCUGGAACGGGGCGUCAUAGAGGGUGAGAAUCCCGUAUAUGCCAUGGACUACCGAUGCUCUGUGAUACACUCUCAACGAGUCGAGUUGUUUGGGAAUGCAGCUCAAAAUGGGUGGUAAAUUCCAUCUAAAGCUAAAUAUUGGCGAGAGACCGAUAGCGAACAAGUACCGUGAGGGAAAGAUGAAAAGCACUUUGGAAAGAGAGUGAAACAGUACGUGAAAUUGUUGAAAGGGAAGCGUUUGAAGUCAGUCGCAUCUGUUGGGGUUCAGCCUGGCUUUUGCCUGGUGUAUUUCCUUUCUGAUGGGUCAGCAUCAGUUUUGACCGAGGGAAAAAGACAUUUGGAAUGUGGCUGUCUUCGGGCAGUGUUAUAGCCUUGUGUUGUAUGUCUCGGUUGGGACUGAGGAUUGCAGCGCGCCAUAAAUGGCCGGGGGUCGCUCCUCUCGACACGCGCUUAGGAUGCUGGCAUAAUGGCUUUAAGCGACCCGUCUUG